UAACAGUGGGAAGCUUCAAAGGUAGUGCAGCAGAACAGAGAUUACCAGCUGCUUCUUUGAACAAUGAUUCUGGAAGGAGUGUCGUGGAGACGGGGGACAUCAGAGGCUGGGACCCACCAGGAGGCAAUGAGGAACAGGAUCCAAUUGAAGCCAGACCUUGGAAAAAGUAUACGAGAGGCCUUCUCAGCCUUCCUCUCCCCCUCCCCAAAUGCUAACUCUCUCAGGUCCUCUCUGGUUGCCCAGAUGUUCCUGACCCCCAACUCCACAUCAAAGCUCAGGACACCUCGUUCACAUUAAACCGCCAGGGCCAUGAAUGGGUUGGUGCGUGCCUGGAGCAGCAG
rnacentral:lncRNA from 1 species